GAUGAACGCUGGCGGCGUGCUUAACACAUGCAAGUCGAACGAGGUCCAUGGAGCUUGCUCCGGAAGACCUAGUGGCGAACGGGUGCGUAACACGUGAGAAACCUGCCCCGAUCUCUGGGAUAACAGUUGGAAACGACUGCUAAUACCGGAUGCCGUCCCACCGCUUCAUGGCGGAGUGACGAAAGAUUUAUCGGAUCGGGAGGGUCUCGCGGCCUAUCAGCUAGUUGGAGAGGUAACGGCUCACCAAGGCAUCGACGGGUAGCUGGUCUGAGAGGAUGAUCAGCCACACUGGGACUGAGACACGGCCCAGACUCCUACGGGAGGCAGCAGUGGGGAAUCUUGCACAAUGGGCGAAAGCCUGAUGCAGCAACGCCGCGUGCGGGAAGAAGGCCCUAGGGUUGUAAAC
rnacentral:rRNA from 1 species